rnacentral:sRNA from 2 species
GCGAAAGCGAGAAAGCGUUGCCAACGGCAACGACCCGAAGGGCGAAGCGCGCAGCGCUGAGUAAUCCUUCCCCCGUCAUCC